rnacentral:rRNA from 1 species
AUUGAACGCUGGCGGCAGGCCUAACACAUGCAAGUCGAACGAGUGGCGGACGGGUGAGUAAUGUCUGGGAAACUGCCUGAUGGAGGGGGAUAACUACUGGAAACGGUAGCUAAUACCGCAUACCAUCGGCUGUGCCCAGAUGGGAUUAGCUAGUAGGUGGGGUAACGGCUCACCUAGGCGACGAUCCCUAGCUGGUCUGGGAGGAUGACCAGCCACAGUGGAACGGCGACACGGUCAAGCCUACUACGGGAGGCAGCGGUGAGUAUUGGACAACAAGGGGCACAAGCCUGAAGCAUCCAUGCGGGGAGUAUGAAGGAGGCCGUGGGGUUGUAAAGUACUUGCAGGGGGGAGGCGUUACCAGAAGAAGAAGCACCGACUAACUCCGUGCCAGCCGCGGUAAUAC